AGCGAACGCUGGCGGCAGGCCUAACACAUGCAAGUCGAACGAUCCCUUCGGGGAUAGUGGCAGACGGGUGAGUAACGCGUGGGAACGUGCCCUUUGGUUCGGAACAACACAGGGAAACUUGUGCUAAUACCGAAUGUGCCCUUCGGGGAAGGAUUAUCGCCAUUGAGCGGCCCGCGUUGGAUUAGGUAGUUGGUGAGGUAAAGGACUCACCAAGCCUACGAUCCAUAGCUGGUCUGAGAGGAUGAUCAGCCACACUGGGACUGAGACACGGCCCAGACUCCUACGGGAGGCAGCAGUGGGGAAGUCUUGCGCAAUGGGCGAAAGCCUGACGCAGCCAUGCCGCGUGAAUGAUGAAGG
rnacentral:rRNA from 1 species